UAAAUUGAAUUUUAUUGCAAAAUCAUUUUUCUUAGCGGAGACACCUUACGAGAAUUUAAAGCGAAAGUGUAUUUCUUUUUGGUCGAUAUGUUCCGUUGGUUACUCACCUGUUACGUAACGUCAAUGAUGUUAUUACUCAAAGAAGUGAAAGUAGUUCCUCAGAUUUAUAGCUGAUUAUUCUCAUAAAUUCAUGAUGUGAAUGAUGUUUAUGUUAAAUUCAUAGUUGUUUUCAUUAUACUUUUCAUUUAUACUGAAUCUAGUGAUAUGUCAUAAAUAUUUGUGAUGUUGUGGAAGGAUAUUUACAUCAGAUAGCGUUCAAGUGUAGUUGGCGCGAAAGAAUAAGCGUUUAUGUUGUUACGACGGUAGGAUAAAUCAGAAAGCGAUUUGUGACGACAGUGUACGUUAGGGGUACUAUGUUCGUUCUUCCAAGUCAAGUUCGACAAGGAGGCAUGUAAUUUCAUUUGACGUACUACCAUGUAUGAGUGAUGCCGAGUGAGGUCUCCAGAGGGUGAUUGGUGGAUGUACCCUUGUUUUCUCUUGGCCUAUAGUAGGGGGUUUGUUUUCCCUGUUUUUGCAUGAUCCACCGGCUGUCAAUAAAUGGCUGACCCACCCCUACUUCUUGUCUAUGGUUCUAUGGUUUUCCUGACUGAGUACCCAACCCCCAACCCAUACUACCACCCAAGCCCAGUUUACUACAAUGGUGUCAGAAGUGGGAUCACCGGUUUGAGAUUGAUGCAACCCCCUACUACGUCAGAGGACGCCAGCAGGUCAAGAGGAUAAGAAGACGCAAUUAGAUAUAAGAUAUAUUAAGGUUGA